GUGGUACCAACAUAUACUAUCGUAGCGUGUCUGCGUUCCACCAGACUACCCUCCUCAUCGGACACAGAUCGGGUGCGGUUGCCAUAGAGACUGCAACUUUAGCAGUCGCAGAAUCUGGAGCGUUCCAAACUAAUCGAAGGGUUGCUACAGACGGGAAAGCACCAGCACUUCUUGGACGGAAAAAAGGGCGCGACGGCGCUGACUGGAGGGAAAGCGCCAUCAAUUGGCGCCAUUUUAUUCUUUGCCGUGGGCAGGGAGGCGACCGUGCGAGCGGCCGGCGCGCCAUGGAACCUCCUCUCCCGCAUGCUUCUUCAUCUGUUGCCGGAGUUGAGCAGCCAUUCCGCACCCCUGUCCAAUCUCUUGCAUCUGAGGCUGGUGGCUCCAUAGAUGAUGCCCAGCAGCUGCUCAAGGAAGCGCAACCACCCCCACACCCCUGUGCAAUCGCUUGCAUCUGAGGCUGGUCGAUCUAUGGAUGACGCACAGCAGCUGCUUGAGGAAUUGCCAACAAGAGUUGCUGCAACUUCUUUUUGGAUUCCACGACUUGGUAUGACAUUUAGUAGUUUGGAUGAAGCCUGGGAGUUCUGGGUGACAUAUGGUGGUCGGAUGGGUUUUGAUGUUCGAAAGUCUUACACAAACACGAGUAAUCUUGAUGGAUUGGUGACAUCAAGUAGGUUUGUUUGUUCAAAUCAGGGUUCUCGUGCUGUGUAAACUUUUCUGUACUUCUCUGUUUAUAUAAGAAUAGCAUUUCAAUAUUUGAUUUGACCAUGCUAUUUUUUUCUUUAUGUUUCUAUCUCUCUGUAUCCCUCUCUUUUCAGAGUUCAAAUGUUGUUCAAGAUGUUAGCAAUCCUCACUUCUUGGAAGAGAUAGAUGGAUGGCAGUUUUAGAAAAGCUUCAGUGCCGUGUCCUUGAGCCUGGGCUGCUAUGGUUGAUGCAAGUCUUUUGUAUAUGAAUUAGGCAAAGUGAACCUUAUUAUAUUCCUAGACUACCAUAUGCUCUUUUGGGUUAAGCAAAUGGUAUUGCCUCUUUUGUGAAUGCAAGUCUGCUGGUGGUGAAGCAAGCUUUUGUAUAUCAAUAGCAAUAGAGAACCUUAGUACAUGUAAAAGGAUCUCAGCUUAACAUAUGCUCUUUUGGUGAUAUAAAUUUAAAGGGCAUUAAAUUCUCAAUUUUCAGUAAAAUACAGAUAAUAUUAUUGUAUUUAUUUUCAUUGUAA